GACGAACCGAGCGAACGUUAUUCGGAAUCACUGGGCUUAAAGGGCGCGUAGGCGGGCGGUCAAGUCAGGGGUGAAAGCCUCCAGCUCAACUGGAGAAGUGCCUUUGAUACUGGCCAUCUUGAGGGAGGUAGGGGCGUGCGGAACUUCCGGUGGAGCGGUGAAAUGCGUAGAUAUCGGAAGGAACACCGGUGGCGAAAGCGGCGCGCUGGACCUCUUCUGACGCUGAGGCGCGAAAGCCAGGGGAGCAAACGGG
rnacentral:rRNA from 1 species